rnacentral:rRNA from 1 species
UGGGGAAUUUUGGACAAUGGGCGAAAGCCUGAUCCAGCAAUGCCGCGUGUGUGAAGAAGGCCUUCGGGUUGUAAAGCACUUUUGUCCGGAAAGAAAUCCUGAGGGCUAAUAUCCUUCGGGGAUGACGGUACCGGAAGAAUAAGCACCGGCUAACUACGUGCCAGCAGCCGCGGUAAUACGUAGGGUGCGAGCGUUAAUCGGAAUUACUGGGCGUAAAGCGUGCGCAGGCGGUUUGUUAAGACCGAUGUGAAAUCCCCGGGCUCAACCUGGGAACUGCAUUGGUGACUGGCAAGCUAGAGUAUGGCAGAGGGGGGUAGAAUUCCACGUGUAGCAGUGAAAUGCGUAGAGAUGUGGAGGAAUACCGAUGGCGAAGGCAGCCCCCUGGGCCAAUACUGACGCUCAUGCACGAAAGCGUGGGGAGCAAACAGG